rnacentral:rRNA from 1 species
UACGAAGGGGGCUAGCGUUGCUCGGAAUUACUGGGCGUAAAGGGAGCGUAGGCGGGUCGUCAAGUUGGGGGUGAAAGCCCAGGGCUCAACCCUGGAACUGCCUUCAAAACUGGCGACCUAGAGUAUGGUAGAGGUGUGUGGAACUCCGAGUGUAGAGGUGAAAUUCGUAGAUAUUCGGAAGAACACCAGUGGCGAAGGCGACACACUGGGCCAUAACUGACGCUGAGGAACGAAAGCCAGGGGAGCGAAUGGG